rnacentral:rRNA from 1 species
UACGUAGGGCGCAAGCGUUGUCCGGAAUUAUUGGGCGUAAAGAGCUCGUAGGCGGUCUGUCGCGUCGGAUGUGAAAGCCCGGGGCUUAACCCCGGGUCUGCAUUCGAUACGGGCAGACUAGAGCGUGGUAGGGGAGAUCGGAAUUCCUGGUGUAGCGGUGAAAUGCGCAGAUAUCAGGAGGAACACCGGUGGCGAAGGCGGAUCUCUGGGCCAUUACUGACGCUGAGGAGCGAAAGCGUGGGGAGCGAACAGG